GCUUGUCUCAAAGAUUAAGCCAUGCAUGUCUUAGUGUAAAUAACUCUUAUGAAACUGCGAAUGGCUCAUUAAAUCAGUUAUCAAAUACGUGAUGGUCGCCUACUACAUGGAUAACCGUAGUAAUUCUAGAGCUAAUACAUGCGUAAAGUCCCGACUCUUGCGGGGAGGGAUGUAUUUAUUAGAUAAAAAACCAAUGCGGCCUCUGGUCGGUAUUGUGGUGAAUCAUAGUAACUUUUCGAAUCGCAUGGCUUCACGCCGGCGAUAGUUCAUUCAAAUUUCUGCCCUAUCAGCUUUCGACGGUAGUGUAGUGGACUACCGUGGCGUUAACGGGUAACGGAGAAUUAGGGUUCGAUUCCGGAGAGGGAGCCUGAGAAACGGCUACCACAUCCAAGGAAGGCAGCAGG
rnacentral:rRNA from 1 species